GUGAAUCAUCGAAUUUCUGAACGCAAAUUGCACUCUCUGGUAUUCCGGAGAGUAUUCCUGUUUGAGGGUCAGUUUAAAUAGAAAUCGGUGUGGUUGCUGCCUUUCUUGGUGACGCACCGGAUGUUGUUCGUCUUUCCUUCGGUUUAGUGACCUACAAUUUUGCAUUAUUUUUUCGAACUGAUGUAAAUGAUUUUACGUACGUGUGCGAUAUCAUAUUCUAGGUGCGGUCAUCCUCAUGAUCCUUGCCUAUAGUUUCUCA
rnacentral:misc_RNA from 1 species